rnacentral:lncRNA from 1 species
GGGUAGUGGAUGAACCUGACAGAGAGGCUCUGACCCAAGCGUGGAAGUCAUGGAUGGAAGAAUACAUAAAAGUCAGUGGGAAAGUUCCACCUGGUAACGAAUCUGGAAAUGCCACUUGGACAAGACAACAACCUAAGAAGAAGCCUGAUCUUCGAUUAACACCUGGUCGUCACGUGCAACUAACGGUACCUCUUGAGGAGCUCGUCGACAAGUUGGUAAAAGAGAAUAAGGUAGUUGCAUUCAUCAAGGGAUCUAGAAGUGCACCGUUAUGUGGAUUCUCGCAAAAAGUGAUAGGCAUUCUUGAAAACGAA